AGUGAGCCGAUAGGUAAUCUCCCUGCCCGAAGCCGAACCCAUUUCACCCGUAAGCUUUCCUACCGCCAUGACUUCCAGUAUCAAGGACGGCGACAACAAGAUUCUGAGCUACCACGACGUCGUCCUCCGCCGAUCUGACCUCGGCAUCCUCCGCGGCCCCCAUUACCUCAACGACCGCCUCAUCGAGUUCUACUUCGCCCACCUCGCUUCCUCCUCCGGUUCCUCCGGAGCCGUCUUCCUCGUCCCACCUUCCAUUUCCUUCUGGCUCGCCAACUGCUCCGACUCCCAAUCUCUCCGUGAGUUCGCAGAUCCCCUCCGCCUCCCCGAUCGCUCCCUUGUCCUCUUCACCGUCAACGACAACCUCGACGUCGACGUCGCUGAGGGCGGUUCGCACUGGAGUCUUCUCGUCUACUGCCGGGAGACCAGCGAGUUCGUGCACCACGAUAGUUGCUCCGGCAUAAACCUCUGCCAUGCACAACGGCUCUUCCGCGCCGUUAGUGGAUUUGUGGGUGCUAGCGAACCCCCUCAGUUUGUCGAGGGUUUCACUCCGCAGCAGACCAACGGGUACGACUGUGGGCUGUAUGUUCUGGCGAUUUCCGAGGUGGUAUGCAAUUGGUUUGUGGCCGGCGGAAGGGGGUGCGCGAAGAGGGAUGAAAGGUGGUUCACUGCAGUUGACAAGGAAGUGGAUGCGGUUGCCGUUAAAAAACUGAGGGGAGAAGUGUUGAAGCUUAUUUUGAGCUUGAUGGAGAACAAAUGACGGCACAGCACUCACUAUAGCUUAUCCCUGUCUUCAAAAGCUUGGCCUCGCAUUCUAACAAUGGCAUCCAGGUAAGCUCCUCUUCUUUCUACUUAUUGGAGUGACUGACACCAUAUAGUAGGCACGAGUAAAGUGACACUAAAUUGUCUUGUUUUGAUUGGGGUUUGCAACCCCAACUCUGAACAAGACUAAGCCUUUGUAGCCACUGUAGUUAACAUUUUCUAUUUCUUUUGUCAGUACUGCAAGCCUCUAAUAUAUUAGGUUUGCAUCAAACAUAUGACAUGGUCAGAUGACAGCGAAUUUAGAGCUCAAACUGAGUGACAGCUAUCCUAUUUACACUGAAUCUGUUGCAAUUAAAGAAGUCUUGAUAGCUAAAGUUAGAGGGAUCAAGCAGCUUACCUUCACACGGUGUGUAACUCUAGCAAGUUGAUAUUUUGUAGAGAGUAGAUUUGCCAUGGAUCAUUGCAUCACCAGCAAGAAUUUUACCUAUUUCUGUCUUUCAUUUCAUUCAAAGAAGGAUAAGGCAACUAAGCUGUGGACUGGUUUGUUGACUGAUUUGGCUUGUAUGUAACAUGCUAGGUGGCCUGCACAACUUCAGUUAGGGUCAGUCCUUCAGUUUUUGCUGUAGUCUGUUUCAACUAGGCUUUUACUGACAUGUUGGAUAGACGAAGAUCAUCUAUCCACUAAAACAUGACUCAAGGAAAUAUGUCCAGAAUGCUUGUGAUAGCCAUAAAUUUAAGCUUUCUUUAGUUAAUUGUUAUCUAAGCUUGUUUCCGAAUUUCUUUGUACUAUGGAUUGUAAUUCUGGAACAACCAUUUUGAUUGUAUUCAACCUGUACCUGUAAAAUUUCCCCCUAACAUUUUCCCGUCAAUUAUCCUCGUUCGUUUUCUUCUCUUCUACUAUU